GGCUCAGAGGUUAAGAACACUGA
rnacentral:piRNA from 1 species